UUUAAUAGCUUUUUUGGGUUCUCAGAUGCCGCGGACUACCGGAACGGUUCGACUGUUCAUCGUCGUCGGCGACAAUGGAGGGGUAGGUUGUCAUGUCAUGUGAUCCAUCGCUGGUUCACGUGGCGAUGACUCUUGACUCGAAGUAUCUAUGCGGGUCAGUGGCGACGGUGCAUUCCAUUCUCCUCAUGUGUCUUGCCUGGAGCAGAUUUUCUUCCACUUCAUUGCUGCCGAGUUUGACCAACCAGCCCGCACUCCU
rnacentral:lncRNA from 1 species